GAUGAACGCUGGCGGAAUGCUUUACACAUGCAAGUCGAACGGUAGAGGGGGCAACCCCUCGAGAGUGGCGAACGGGUGAGUAAUAUAUCGGAACGUGCCCAGUCGUGGGGGAUAACGUAGCGAAAGUUACGCUAAUACCGCAUACGAUCUAAGGAUGAAAGCGGGGGAUCGCAAGACCUCGCGCGAUUGGAGCGGCCGAUAUCAGAUUAGGUAGUUGGUGGGGUAAAGGCUCACCAAGCCAACGAUCUGUAGCUGGUCUGAGAGGACGACCAGCCACACUGGAACUGAGACACGGUCCAGACUCCUACGGGAGGCAGCAGUGGGGAAUUUUGGACAAUGGACGCAAGUCUGAUCCAGCCAUUCCGCGUGCAGGAUGAAGGCCCUCGGGUUGUAAACUGCUUUUGUACGGAACGAAAAGGUCUCUCUUAAUACGGGGGGCUCAUGACGGUACCGUAAGAAUAAGCACCGGCUAACUACGUGCCAGCCGCCGCAGUAA
rnacentral:rRNA from 1 species